rnacentral:rRNA from 1 species
CAGUCGAUCCUAAGCUCAAGGAGAGAUCUUAUGUCGAUGUGGCGUGUUUACUCUUUUAUAUUUUACUAUAUGAAAUUGAAAAAUAACGCCCUUUGAGCGAAAGGGAAUCCGGUUCCUAUUCCGGAACCCGGCAGCGGAACCGUUUCAUUAAUCGUUCCCUCGUUUUUGAGCGAGUGUUCGACGGGGUAACCCAAACUGGCCUGAAGACGCCGCCGAGGGGUCCGGGAAGAGUUUUCUUUUCUGCCUGAGCGUUCGAGUUCCAUGGAAUCCUAUAGAAGGGAGAUAUGGUUCGGAACGCGAAGAGCACCGCAUUUGCGGCGGUGUCCGGAUACUCUCUGCGGACCUUGAAAAUUCAGGUGAGGGAUGUACGUGGAGAUGUCGCGCCGGUUCGUACCCAUAUCCGCAGCAGGUCUCCAAGGUGAAGAGCCUCUAGUCGAUAGAAUAAUGUAAGGUAAGGGAAGUCGGCAAAUUGGAUCCGUAACUUCGGAAUAAGGAUUGGCUCUGAGGACCGGGGCGUGUCGGGUUUGGACGGGAAGCGGAUGCGGCCGGUGCCGGGCCUGGUCGAUGCUGGUGCGCGUGUGCGCAGCGUGUUCGCGUCCCUGUAACAGGGGGCGUGCUCCGUUGUCGCAGCGUGUGUCCAGCGGAAUCCGGACCCGCGUUCCGGCCUUCCGCGGAUCUUCCUAGCCGUUAAGGCCGUGUCGGUCUCGUCUCGUGCGCGAUCGGCGCGGUUCUGUACGACCGCCGUUCAACGGUCAGCUCAGAACUGGCACGGACAAGGGGAAUCCGACUGUCUAAUUAAAACAAAGCAUUGCGAUGGCCCUCGCGGGUGUUGACGCAAUGUGAUUUCUGCCCAGUGCUCUGAAUGUCAACGUGAAGAAAUUCAAGCAAGCGCGGGUAAACGGCGGGAGUAACUAUGACUCUCUUAAGGUAGCCAAAUGCCUCGUCAUCUAAUUAGUGACGCGCAUGAAUGGAUUAACGAGAUUCCCGCUGUCCCUAUCUACUAUCUAGCGAAACCACAGCCAAGGGAACGGGCUUGGGAGAAUCAGCGGGGAAAGAAGACCCUGUUGAGCUUGACUCUAGUCUGGCAUUGUAAGGAGACAUGAGAGGUGUAGCAUAAGUGGGAGAUCGUUCGCGGUCGUCGCUGAAAAACCACUACUUUCAUUGUUUCAUUACUUACUCGGUUGGGCGGAAGCGGUGCGCGGUCGAUAACAAUCGACGGGCGUACGGUGUUUCGUUCCAAGCGUGCAGAGUGGCGGCGUGGCGGCAACGCUCGUCGCCAUACAACUCCCGCGUGAUCCGGUUCGAGGACACUGCCAGGCGGGGAGUUUGACUGGGGCGGUACAUCUGUCAAAG